GGGGCCGACUGGUUUUGACAGCGAGACCAAUGGUCAUGUAAGCAUGCCGAGCGCUGGACUAUAGCUCGUAAAUCUCAUGGAUCCGCCCUUUUUAAAUGGCGAGUCUAACUACGCUUUAGCAGCCUAAUAAGACUGAAUUACAGUAAGUCUUUGGCCUAGUACCGCAAGGCGGUAAUGCUGAAUGUCCCCGGGUAGCCCUUGUUGACGGCGACCCUUUCGGGGGCACCAUAAAAGUCAACAUCGUGCGGCUACGGCUUCGGUAGCCGCAUCAAACUAAAGAAGCUAAGCGUGUAAUGGGCUGUUCCGGGUCAGUUACACGUCGACAAUCAAUCCGGAAAUAAGCAUGUAGAAAGCCUGAUUAUUGCUUGUUUGGACGAGGGUUCGAAUCCCUCCGGCUCCACGA
rnacentral:tmRNA from 1 species